UCGGACGUGGUGCAUGGCGCACAUCCACUCUCCCUGGGCUUUACGGAUGUAAGCAGUGGGAGCCCCGGGUUCGAUUCCCGGCGUCUGAA